CCUACGGGAGGCAGCAGUGAGGAAUAUUGGUCAAUGGACGAGAGUCUGAACCAGCCAAGUAGCGUGAAGGAUGACUGCCCUAUGGGUUGUAAACUUCUUUUAUAUGGGAAUAAAAUGUUCCACGUGUGGGUUUUUGUAUGUACCAUACGAAUAAGGAUCGGCUAACUCCGUGCCAGCAGCCGCGGUAAUACGGAGGAUCCAAGCGUUAUCCGGAUUUAGUGGGUUUAAAGGGAGCGUAGGUGGUUUGUUAAGUCAGUUGUGAAAGUCUGCGGCUCAACCUUAGAAUUGCAGUUGAGACUGGCAGUCUAGAGUACAGUAGAGGUGGGCGGAAUUCGUGGUGUAGCGGUGAAAUGCUUAGAUAUCACGAAGAACUCCGAUUGCGAAGGCGGUUCACUGGACUACAACUGACACUGAGGCUCGAAAGUGUGGGUAUCAAACAGGAUUAGAUACCCUGGUAGUC
rnacentral:rRNA from 1 species